GAUGAACGCUGGCGGCGUGCCUAAUACAUGCAAGUCGAGCGAACAGACGAGGAGCUUGCUCCUCUGACGUUAGCGGCGGACGGGUGAGUAACACGUGGAUAACCUACCUAUAAGACUGGGAUAACUUCGGGAAACCGGAGCUAAUACCGGAUAAUAUAUUGAACCGCAUGGUUCAAUAGUGAAAGACGGUUUUGCUGUCACUUAUAGAUGGAUCCGCGCCGCAUUAGCUAGUUGGUAAGGUAACGGCUUACCAAGGCGACGAUGCGUAGCCGACCUGAGAGGGGGAGAGGCAGCAGUGGGAAAGAGAAAGGGGGAAGACAACGAGGGGAGGAAGAAGUAGGGAUGAGUGCGCAAGGGGUGAAAGAAGGAAGGCGCAAUUCGGAGUGAAGAAUGAAGGUAUUCGUAGAGAAAAACGUUGUGAGGGGGCAAGAACAGAAGUGCACGUAAAUAUGCACGCAUGGAGGGGACGUAAGGAGAAAGACAAGGCGAGAGAAGUG
rnacentral:rRNA from 1 species